rnacentral:tRNA from 2 species
GCGCCCGUAGCUCAGCUGGAUAGAGCGUUCGCCUCCGGAGCGAAAGGCCAGGGGUUCGAAUCCCUUCGGGCGCGCCA